GAUGAACGCUGGCGGCGUGCCUAACACAUGCAAGUCGAGCGAACAGACGAGGAGCUUGCUCCUCUGACGUUAGCGGCGGACGGGUGAGUAACACGUGGAUAACCUACCUAUAAGACUGGGAUAACUUCGGGAAACCGGAGCUAAUACUGCAUAAUAUAUUGUACCGCAUGGAUCAAUAGUGAAAGACGGUUUUCCUGUCACUUAUAGACGGAUCCGCGCCGCAUUAGCUAGUUGGUAAGGUAACGGCUUACCAAGGCAACGAUGCGUAGCCGACCUGAGAGGGUGAUCAGCCACACUGGAACUGAGACACGGUCCAGACUCCUACGGGAGGCAGCAGUAGGGAAUCUUCCGCAAUGGGCGAAAGCCUGACGGAGCAACGCCGCGUGAGUGAUGAAGGUCUUCGGAUCGUAAAACUCUGUUAUUAGGGAAGAACAAAUGUGUAAGUAACUAUGCCCGUCUUGACGGUACCUAAUCAGAAAGCCACGGCUAACUACGUG
rnacentral:rRNA from 1 species